AGCCUGAUCCAGCCAUGCCGCGUGNGUGAAGAAGGCCUUCGGNUUGUAAAGCCCUUUANGUUGGAAGGAAGGGCAGUNNAUUAAUACUUNGGUGUUUUGACGNUACCGACAGAAUAAGCACCGGCUAACUUCGUGCCAGCAGCCGCGGUAAUACGAAGGGUGCAAGCGUUAAUCGGAAUUACUGGGCGUAAAGCGCGCGUAGGUGGUUNUUUAAGUCGGAUGUGAAAUCCCCGGGCUCAACCUGGGAACUGCAUUCGAAACUGGCGAGCUAGAGUAUGGUAGAGGGUGGUGGAAUUCCCGGUGUAGCNGUGAAAUGCGUAGAUAUNGGNAGGAACACCCAUGGCGAAGGCNACCACCUGGACCUGAUACUGACACUGAGG
rnacentral:rRNA from 1 species